CAUGGAAUAACUGAAUCAAGCUUACAACCAUUCCAAAAUAUAGACAAGAAAAAUACUUGGCUUGUAACCAGUAGAGAUGAUAACAGCUUCAUCUACUUUACCAGUUUGUCUCUACUACCCUCUAGUGGAACUGUAGUCAUAAUAGCCUUACAGCAUUGCCUCCAGAUUUAACACACACACACGUGCACGCACAUACACGUGCACGCACACACACGUGCACGCACACACACGUGCACGCUUGUAUGCGUGUAGAGCAUGUGUGCACGUGUGAGUGUGUGUGUGUGUGUAGAGAUUUAUAAAUUUCUGCCUUGUAGAGUUGGUCCCAGCCUUGAAUAUGAGAAAUGCCCGGAGGGAGUUAUCUUUUAACUGGCAUUCUUGUUCCUCUUCCUGGUGGCUCAGAAGGUUCCUCCCUGCGGCAUGUUAGUUCCCUGACCAGGGAUCAAACCUGCGCCUCUUGCAGUGGAAACAAGGAAUCAAUCGCUGAAACACCAAGAAAGUUCCCUAGUUCUAAAAUACUGUUGCAAAGCUGAACCUCUUCCGAGCAGCCUCUCAGAAGAGCAUUCAGGGCUCUUUUAGAUUCUGACUCCAAAUUCCCUUCCCUGCUUAACACCUAAGGGGCCCUCUACCCUCUGAUCAAGGCACCCUAAAUUAUAUGGGCAGACUUCAGGGCUUUACUCAUACAACUUCUGCCUGGAAGGCCUGCCUCACCAUUCCUUCUCCAGUGUUCCUAGAGAAUGUCAUAUCCAAUGUUUCUUCAAAUGUCACAUCCUCUUUUUGAAUGGGUAAUUUCCUCCUCUAUGUUCUCAUGUCACCUUAGAGCAUAAGUUACAGCGUAAGUGCCAGAAGCAAGUUACAAGUAAUGGUUGUGUUCUCCCACUCCCAACAUCUCAAGCAGGAAAAUACCUGACUGAUCUUUGUGACAUUGUAUAGAAGUUGACCCAAUGAACAGUAAAUUGUAUUUGCCAAGAUGAGAGCCUAAAUUUAGAAUAACCCCUGAACCCUUGUGGCUCAGCUGGUGAAGAUUCCCCCUCAGUGCGGAAGACCUGGGUUCGAUCCCUGCAUUGGGAAGAUUCCUCUGGAGAACGGAAAGGCUACCCACUCCAGUAUUCUGGCCUGGAAAAUUCCAUGGACUGUAUAGUCCAUGGGGUCGCAAAGAGUUAAACAUGACUGAGUGACUUGCACUUCGCUUCAUCCCACCUGAAACUUUAAAAGAUAACUAAAAACAAAUAAAAACAAGCUGCAAAAAUAGAGAAAGAUAACUGAGUUAAAUUUAAAUAAAAAUC
rnacentral:lncRNA from 1 species